AAGUUGAUAACUUGGUAUACCUACUUUAAUAUGAAAAUUUAACAAAUAAAUUUUAAAAAUAAAAUUGUAAUGCACUUUGUUCAACACUUUUCGACUAUUGAUUCAUAUUUUUGAGAGUGUAUUACUCUAACUAUCAAAGAUUUGGAGAAAUAGAGUGCAAAAAGAGUUACAAAGGAUAAAUAAUGUGAGUGUUAACAAAGAAAAUGUAGGAAUCCAAAACAAUGUUUCCUUAAUUUCUUCUAUUUGAAUGGGGUUAAGAUACAUAAUUUUUAUUUAUAAAAAUUGAGGCCCCCAAAAAUUGGGGGCCUAAGGCCAAUGCCUAAAAUUUUAUAGGCAAGAGCCGGCCCUGCCACCAACAUAGGUACUGGUAACAGAGGUAAUAUAGAGUAUAAACGUUAGGGAGAUCACAUAGAUAAUAUAGAACCAAUAUAAAGUUAUGCAUGGUAGAUCUACUAUAGAUGCUAUGUUAUUUUUAUUAAGAAGAUCAAUGGAAAUUUUUAGGGGAGGAUGAAUGAUCUCCACAUUCAUUGACCUAGAAAAAUCUUUUGUUGGAGAAUUUGGGAAGGUAGGUCUUAUAUCAAAGAAAAUAUAUAAAUGUCACAAGUGUUACUUUAGAAAAAGUGAUCAGAAGUGUGAAAAUAGUGAAGGAGAUGCAAAGGAGUUUUGCCACAACUAUAUGUUUAUACUAGUGCCGGCAAAAUUUACCCACUCUUUGAUAACCCACCCAUAUUUAAGCGGGUUGGAUGAGUGAUGAACCCAUUUUUAAACUGUAAAAAAUUUGGGAAAUCAUGGGUCGGUUACAGGUCAAGUAUGGGUUGCCUUCGGUCAGCUUUCGUGCAUCACUCACAAUUUCUUCAAAUUGUUUUUGCUUCAGCAACAACUUUAAAAUGUGGAAAAUAAGCAAUCAUCUACUAUUUAAAUAGUUUUUGCUUUUUAGACUUACGGUAAAGAUUUCAAUAGAUAUGAUUUCCUGCCACUACUAACAUUAUAUGCUAUUAUUUUUAUAGAAAAAAAUUAUCCCAAACUGGCUGUGUUGUCGUAUAUUAAAUGUAUAGAAUAGUUAACUAGAUAUGUAGAAACAACAAAUAAAUACACAUUCACUCACUUACGCUAACACACACACACACAUAAAAUACCAGAAAUCAUCAAGUUACGGUAUUACUAGAUUUUAAAAGAACACAAAGUCAGUUAUAUAAGAUGGGGUACUUAUUUUAUCAACAAGACAAACAGUUUACUCAAUACAAUUCUUAUUUAUUUCAAAUGUCUCUGGAGAAAACACGUUUUAUACGAGCUCUUUUAUAUGGAAAAAAUGGUUAUGUGACUGAUCAUAUUGUCUUGAGUUCUUGAAUUAUUCCUAAGUAGAUUAAAAAACAUACUAUUGUGAUAUAACAAAAGUGAAUAUCCAGUUUCACCGAUACACUGGUUACAAAUUAUUAAACAUAACUGAAGAAUAUUAUUUGUUCCAAAACCACAUACUAUGUAAUGGUAAACCCAUUUUCAACCCGCCCAUUAAUGACCCAAUCCAUUUUUUACCCGCAUGAAAUAUGGGUGGGUUGAGUAUUGACCCAUAUUUGCUCAACCCAUUUCCAACCCGCCCAAAUUUGACCCAACCUGCCCAUUUGCCACCACUAGUUUAUACCAAGAAUCUUCCUUAAGCUCACUUUUAUCCUAGUUAUGGUUGAGCUAACCAAAUGAAGGGAGAGUGAAAUCAACGAGGAUCGUGGUACCUGUGUGCAGACAAUUCAGAUCUUUUGGCUCAACGAGCUUCUGCUAAAAGAAACAUUUGCCAACUGAAACACCAUCCAUAAAGGCAGAGAAUCAUGGGGUGGGGUGGGGUGGGGGGAGACUUUUGGCCUUCAUGGAGGGAGAAAAGGGUUCCAUAUUCAUGGCUCGAGGUUUUGAGGGAGUUAUAGCCUUCCAUCCCAAUAUGCUAUGAAGAGAAAUCUAAGCAUACAUCUGAAGAAAAAUGGCAGCCCGGUGCACUAAGCUCCUGCCAUGCACUGGUCCGAUGAAGGGCCGGACUACUAGGAGGUUUAUUGUAUGCAACCUUACCUUGCAUUUCUGCAAGAGGCUGUGUCCAUAGCUCGUACCCAUGACAUGAUCCCCUUCAGUCUAAGCAGAUAUCUCAUUGACAUAAAUUGCUGCUUGUAGAAAUUUCAAAUAGUGAACCCAUAGUGUUUUGUCAUGUUUCCUUUAAAAAAAUUGAAUGUAAUCUAAAAAGUAACAUCUUUAUCUGCUGAUGUUUCCAUUAGGGAAAUUGGAAAAUAAAUUCUUCGGACUGAACACAUCUGACAUGUUUCUGUGAGUUUCCUCCUAUUAUUGGAUGCUAUUUGGCUGCAGAUUUAAGAUUUCUUUCAAUUCAGUCACUUGCUGACAAUAGUGAUUGAUGGUCCAUUUCUUGCUGGACCCCUUCUUACUUCUGGCUUUUCUUUUUGUGGAAGGUAGAAACUCUAUGCAUUUUUCUACGUUGUUUUGGCUAUUUGAAAAUAUUUCAUGUCCAAUGUACAACAACAUAUCCAGUGUAGUCCCACAAAGUGAGAUCUGGGGGAGGGUAAAGUGUACGCAGACCUUACCCCUACCUUCAGAGGUAGAGAGGUUGUCUUCAAUAGACCCUUAACUCAAGGAAAACAGUCCCAAAAUAGAAGUAACAAAAGUACAAAAAACAACAAAUAAUAACAAAACCAUACGUUAGUCGAGGUAUUAAGGAAUCAACAGAUAUUAACAUCAAUCGAUGGACAAGAAACUACAGGAGCAAUACUACGACUACUAAUAUGAACGGAUAGCAAGACAAUGCACUACUACCUACUACCUUAAUCCAUGACCUCCACCCCCUCCCAUCUAAGGUCAUGCCCUUGGUAAGCUGAAACUGCGCCAUGUCAUGUCCAAUGUAAAGCACAUAAUCUCAUCUGUAACUCCAGCAGGUUCGCAUGCAAAAUAUGCAUAUCAAGAUUUCAUAUAUGUAUAUUGUCCAUGUAUGGUUUUGUGCAUCUCCGUAAUAGUUGGAUUUAGUAGUGAGGCUAUUGCUAACAAGUUUUUUUUUUUUUGCGAGAAUGGAUUGAUAUGUUGAUGGUGCUACUAACUAGUCAAGAUGAAAAUUGAUAUUGUUUGUUGAUAUUACAGGAAAGACCAGAGCAAGAGAUGCAGCAUUGAACGCCAUUCAAUCUCCUCUGCUGGACAUUGGUAUAGAGAGGGCUACUGGAAUUGUGUGGAAUAUAACUGGUGGUAGUGAUCUAACAUUAUUUGAGGUACCCAACUAUUUUUUAUCUUGCUCUCUCUCUCUCUUCCCAUACACUUACUAAUCAUCCUUAGGAUGCACCUGAGCACCUUGUGUUGACUGAAAAAGGCAGACAUAUAUUACAUAAUGUAGAAAAGAUUUCGGCAGUAGAAGCCUUUUAAUUUUUUCAGUGUAGAGAUUUUUCUAUUGAAGAUGGCAUAUAUGAAUGUGUGAAUUUCCUUGUGUGAUUGUUUCUUACGAAGACAAAUAAGAGAGAAACUUUAUCUAAAGGCACAUGAGGGUUGUAAAAAGAUCAAAUUACCUAUGCUUCUGGUCUAUCCUGCUUGCUUAUCUGCUGUUUCUCAGCAUUUAUGCAUGCAAAUGUUGUCAUUUUUAAGUGCGCUUAAGCCUUGAAGCGAGGCGCAAAACAUGUUGAGCGCUUCGCCUCGCUCUUUGCACGUUUCAGUGUCAUCAUCAAGGCAUACUUUUCCUUGCCAGUGAGAGUGAGUGUAAUCCUGAAGAUGCGACACUAAACAAUUGAUAUUUUGCGUUAUUUUUUUAAUAAAUUUCUUUGUUCAUAUAUUUAUUAUUCAUGCUUGUGAUUAUUAAUCUUGGACUACACAUACAUAUUUGUAUUUUUCUCCAUUGCUCCUUUCUUCAAUAAAGGCCACACUUCACUUGUGCUUAAAGCCUUAAAGGACCUUAGAGCUUUUUUACACACUUCACUUUUGAUAAAACUGAUGCAUGCACACCAAAUGUAUGCUUGUUUUAGGUAUCAAAAUCAUGUCAGACACAAAUUCACUCAUUAAAGCAGUUGGACAUGACCACACCUGCCAAGUUGGAGUUCCAAACUUCUCUAGAUAAUUUUUGGAUCCUUCGGCCCCUAAGUUAGACUCUGAAAGGGAUGUGAAGAUUAUAAGUUGUUAUCCAAUUUAAUGAAGCUUUUAAACCAAAAUAUAAUUUCCAGAAGUGAAAAAUUGCAUAUUGUAUGCUAUAAAAACAAGUUAUAAUGUUAAGUUUGUAGACUUCCUAUGAGAAUCACAGCAUUUGAACAAAACUUUUAAAUGCAAGGAAGAAAAUUGUUUUCAUGUCUGCAUUUGAACAAAAUUUAUUAAUGCAAGGAAGAAAAUUCUUUUCAUGCCUUCUAGGCAAUAAUAUAUCUUGAAACUCUUUAUCUUAUGUUAGAUAGAGACAAUUGUAUGCAAAGCAGUCUUUGUAUCUUCAGUUGAAAUAUGUAGUUAAUAGUUUAUGAUUUUGGGGUCAUAUUUAAGCCUUGACCAGAAUUAUGUACAAAUUUAAAAUAUCUAUACGAGUGAAUUUAUGUUCUGAUUUUCAAAGUGUCUUUAUGUCUGAUCCUCUUGUGUACCCAACAUAGGUGUCCUUGGCCAUGUCGCAUAGCUCAGCAGUGAUGAUCAUUGUUUUCUUAAAUUUGGACCAGAUACCAAUUUAUCAUUAUAACGUCAUUGUAGUGGUGAUUGUGCCAUAUUUUCUCUAUUAUCAGUUUCAAAGCCUUCCUGACCUCCAAGUUUGCAGAAAGUUAAUUGUUUUUUCUUAGUAUAAUAAAAAGCUUUCAUAGUAUGCAUUUGGUAUUUUAUGUUUGUGAGCAGUCCCGGGAUGAUGCUAAUUUCAGACUUAUCUGAUUCGCGAAGUCAGCUCUCAUAUCCUUGCAUGUCCUCUUUGCACUUUUUUAGGUAAAUGCUGCAGCAGAGGUUAUAUAUGACCUUGUGGAUCCAAGUGCUAACCUCAUUUUUGGGGCGGUGAUAGACCCAUCGAUAAGUGGACAGGUAUGUUCGUAUAUCUCACUAGGUUACGAUAUUCCUUCAUUGACAUGAUUCUUUACAGGUCUUGACAUGCACCGAAGCUCAAAAGUAUUUAAUUCCAAAGCUUCUUAUUAGACAGUUGAAAGAUUGAGCAGUUAUGUCAUAAAUUGGGAAACUGAUCUUUAAUUUAAUCAGAGACGAGAAAGAAUAAAUAGUUGACUGCAUUAUAUAAUAUUAAAGUUAAUGGUCAAAAAUACACCGGAAGUAUCACGUUUUUGCGAGUUUCAUACCUAAACUAUCAGGUGUUUGCAUUGCGUUUCCUACCUGAACUAUCACCAGCUAUUUAUAAAAACACAAGGUAGGGUAAGGUUGCGUAUACACUACCCUCCCCAGACCCCACUUGUGGGAUUACACUGGGUAUCUUGUUGUUGUUUUUGUAUCUAGUUAGGGUUAAGGCUUUGUUGUUUUUACAAUUGCAUUAGAUUUGAUAUUUGCCAAGAGUCUUUUUCCUCCACCUCCCCCUCCCCCCCCACAAGUUUGAGGCUUGUAUGUUAAAGUGUAGGGAUAAGAUGAGACUUGGAGAACUUGUUUACAUCUCUGAUUUGUCUCAAUGGUAUUGAGGCGUAGAAGUUCAAUUAAACUGCUGUCGAAUUUACAUUUUGCUGCAUGGUCAAUCUCAUCAUUAUCUACAUGAUGCAGGUCAGCAUAACGCUAAUUGCCACUGGUUUCAAACGCCAAGAAGAAAGUGAUAUGAGGCCCCUCCAGGUAUUCCUCUCUUCCACCCUCUCCCUUCACAUCUACACUACAUGUGAAAAUCUUUGGUUUUGACGAUCAUUUUGUGACACAUGUUCCACGGUGUUCGACUAACAGGGAAACCAACUAGCACAGGGAGAUACUUCACUUGGAACUAACAGACGACCUGCGUCCUUUUUGGAAGGUGGUUCAGUGGAAAUUCCUGAGUUCCUCAGGAAAAAAGGGCGAUCGCGCUAUCCAAGAGCUUAAGUUAGUCAUGUAUAGUACUCUUCCCUUUUUCUUCUUGUUCUCCACAGAGUCCCAUCUCUAUCUUUCAAAGUGAUACAUAUGCGUUAUACGUACAGGAUCUUGGUUAUGCAUCGAGUAUCAAGUUUAUCUCAUGGAAAAACCAUUGUCCAUCUCGUUUUUCUUAAUAAUAAUGUAUCGUGCCUAUACAUGUUAGUUUGCUAGUGAGUGUAAUAAGCUGGAGAUACUAUCAAAGGUAGACAAUUAGGAGCACAAUCAGUCUGGUUUCACCUUGUGAUCUGUAAAAUGUUGCUGUAAAGUUGAUAUCUGGAGA
rnacentral:lncRNA from 1 species